AAGCUUCUGCUGGGCCGACACUGACACUGAGAGACGAAAGCUAGGGGAGCAAAUGGGAUUAGAGACCCCAGUAGUCCUAGCCGUAAACGAUGGAUACUAAGUGGCUGUGCGUAUCCACCCGUGCAAUGCUGUAGCUAACGCGUUAAGUAUCCCGCCUGGGGAGUACGUUCGC
rnacentral:rRNA from 1 species